UUUGCUGAAGAUUUGCCUGAUGCCUGCCCUUUGCUCAACACCUUCUGUUGUUUUUCCUGCUACCUGGUGGGCAGAUGGGAAGGCUGUGCUGGGACCUCCGUCUCGGACCCUGAGACCGAGGGCCACGGCUUAGGAACGGCAAGGGGUGAACAGGAAGGAGUCUAGGACACUGGGACACUGGGCGUGUUCUGAAGUCUCCAGAUUAGCCCUGAACUGCCUGCAUCUGGACUUCAUUUACACCAGAGGAAAAGAAACCUCUCUUUUGUUUUUUGUUGAUUUUUAAAAAUUAAGUUUAUUAAAUUUUAUUAUGACCACAUUUCUAUGCCCUGAGCAGUAGAAGCUAAUGUAAAAUGUCAGCUAGCAUACACGCUGGGCCUUUUUAUUUUAAAAUGUGCUCGAUCGGCCUUUAUCUAUUCUGUCCAGAAUUUUAGCUGGAGUGACCAAAAGAGCCCUGGACCGGAGAGGGGAGGCCACUUGCCUGGGGUCACACAGCAGGGGAAGGGCACAGCUGGAGUCUGACCCCAUAGCCCCAGGCCCUAACCCCCAGCCCUCAAUUCCAAGCAGCUCCCAGCUCGGGGUGUUUGCUGGCCUCCUCCAGGCUCAGUCCAGACCAGGGGCAGCGUGAUCUACUCCUCCUCUGCCUUUUAGACCAAGAACCAGGGCUUUCUUUCUUAUUUCUUAGGGCCUGGAACAUGCUGCCAGUGUGAGAGAAAACUCCCACUGUGGGUGCAGAGGGGACUGAAUCGCAGCCCCGCCCCUGGCAAGCUGUGCACCCUGGAGAAUACCUCAGCCUCUCUGAGCCGCGGUUUCCCUGCCUAGCGAGACGCCCAGCAGGCCCGGCGCUCUGCAGGCUCCGAGGUGCCGUGUUUAGAAUGUCUGACAUCUCUGGAAGGACAGAGCGC